rnacentral:tRNA from 1 species
GCCUGGCUGGCUCAGUCAGUAGAGCAUGCGACUCUUGAUCUCAAGAUUGUGAAUUCAAGCCUCACGUUGGGCA